GACGAACGCUGGCGGCGUGCCUAAUACAUGCAAGUUGAGCGCUGAAGGUUGGUACUUGUACCAACUGGAUGAGCAGCGAACGGGUGAGUAACGCGUGGGGAAUCUGCCUUUGAGCGGGGGACAACAUUUGGAAACGAAUGCUAAUACCGCAUAAAAACUUUAAACACAAGUUUUAAGUUUGAAAUAUGCAAUUGCAUCACUCAAAGAUGAUCCCGCGUUGUAUUAGCUAGUUGGUGAGGUAAAGGCUCACCAAGGCGAUGAUACAUAGCCGACCUGAGAGGGUGAUCGGCCACAUUGGGACUGAGACACGGCCCAAACUCCUACGGGAGGCAGCAGUAGGGAAUCUUCGGAAAUGGACGAAAGUCUGACCGAGCAACGCCGCGUGAGUGAAGAAGGUUUUCGGAUCGUAAAACUCUGUUGGUAGAGAAGAACGUUGGUGAGAGUGGAAAGCUCAUCAAGUGACGGUAACUACCCAGAAAGGGACGGCUAACUACGUG
rnacentral:rRNA from 1 species